rnacentral:rRNA from 1 species
AGGGUGUAAACGCUGCCGACUUGGUGUUGGAGGCCCUUCGGGGGCAUUCAGUGCCGGAGAGAAGUUGUUAAGUCGGCCACUUGGGGAGUACGUCCGCAAGGAUGAAACUUAAAGGAAUUGGCGGGGGAGCACCGCAACGGGAGGAGCGUGCGGUUUAAUUGGAUUCAACACCGGAAAACUCACCAAGGAAGACUGUUACAUGAAGGCCGAGAUGAAGACUCUGCUAGAUUUUUCAGAGAGGAGGUGCAUGGCGUCAGUGACU